rnacentral:rRNA from 1 species
CCUACGGGUGGCAGCAGUAAGGAAUAUUGGUCAAUGGGCGCUAGCCUGAACCAGCCAAGUAGCGUGAAGGAUGACUGCCCUAUGGGUUGUAAACUUCUUUUAUAUGGGAAUAAAGUGCAGUAUGUAUACUGCUUUGCAUGUACCUUAUGAAUAAGGAUCGGCUAACUCCGUGCCAGCAGCCGCGGUAAUACGGAGGAUCCGAGCGUAAUCCGGAUGGAUUGGGUUGAAAGUGAGCGUAGGCGGGUUGUUAAGUCAGUUGUGAAAGUUUGCGGCUCAACCGUAAAAUUGCAGUUGAUACUGGCAUCCUUGAGUACAGUAGAGGUAGGCGGAAUUCGUGGUGUAGCGGUGAAAUGCUUAGAGAUCACGAAGAACGCCGGUUGCGAAGGCAGCCUGCUGGACUGUAACUGACGCUGAUGCGCGAAAGUGUGGGGAUCAAACAGGAUUAGAUACCCUUGUAGUC